rnacentral:rRNA from 1 species
GACGAACGCUGGCGGCGUGCUUAACACAUGCAAGUCGAACGCUGAAGCUCAGCUUUUGUUGGGUGGAUGAGUGGCGAACGGGUGAGUAACACGUGAGUAACCUGCCCCCUUCUUUGGGAUAACGCCCGGAAACGGGUGCUAAUACUGGAUAUUCACUGGUCUUCGCAUGGGGGUUGGUGGAAAGGGUUUUUCUGGUGGGGAUGGGCUCGCGGCCUAUCAGCUUGUUGGUGGGGUGAUGGCCUACCAAGGCUUUGACGGGUAGCCGGCCUGAGAGGGUGACCGGUCACAUUGGGACUGAGAUACGGCCCAGACUCCUACGGGAGGCAGCAGUGGGGAAUAUUGCACAAUGGGCGCAAGCCUGAUGCAGCGACGCCGCGUGAGGGGUGGAGGCCUUCGGGUUGUGAACCUCUUUCGCUCAUGGUCAAGCCGCAACAAUGGUUGUGGUGAGGGUAGUGGGUAAAGAAGCGCCGGCUAACUACGUG